GGCUGCCUCUCUUUUAUUUAUAUUCUAGCCUACAAGCCACAGAACACUUGCAAUAACUAAUCAGAACCAUGUGCUAUUUUACAGAAAGCUAAAAUAAAGUGUCUUCACAAACAGUUGCAUCUCAAGGAUUCUAUCAAAUGUAUAUACUGAAGUAUUUGCCACCAGAUAGCUAACCCAUGCUGUGGUCUGGACCCAGAAUAUUCUUCAAAGAUGCAUGUGUUACAGCCUUCCUCUUCAGCUUGAAGUCCUUGGAACACAGAGAUAUUUUAGAAGAAAGAAAAGAGGGAGUUUAAAAAAAAGAAGAGGAAGAGGAGGACGAAGGAGAGGAGGUAGCUACAGAGAACAGACAGAAGCUGCAAAACCUACACCAUUUACAACUUGACUCUUGUCAGGAACUAUCUUGAAGAGAGCACAUUUAUCAAAGUCUUGGCAAUUCACAAGCAAACCAACUCCGUCCAUCAGAAGAGUAAGGAAGAAUCAACGGCAAAGAGAAAGCUGAUGGCCCCGUUCCUGCUGUUUAAAAUGCAGGAAACUGCUGAACUUCAAACAUAUAAUUACUUCUUCACCUUUCUUUAGCUAGAAAGUUUGCACUUUUUUUCCUUUUCUUUUUCUUUUUUGAUCUUUUUGCUCCUGCAUGUAUGUGUGGUGCAUAUGUACAUGUGUGUGCACAGCUCUCCAUGUGUAGCAAAAGUGAAAGGAAAACAUGGGGCAUUCUGCCUUUAUCACUCUCUGCCUUACUUUCUUGCAACAGGGUCUCUCACUAAACCAGAAGUGACACUGGUAGCCAGCAAGCCCCAGAGAUCUUCCUGUCUCCACCUGUCAUAGUGCUGCUAUUAAAAACAUGCACACAGCCACACCUGGCCUUUGUAUGGGUUCUGGGGGUUAACACUCAGGUCCUCCUGAUUGCAGAGUAAGUAUUCUUACCCAUUGAGCUAUCUCCUUUGUUUGGUCGGUUGGUUGGCUGGGUUUUUGAAACAGAGAUAUUGAUGCAGCUAGGAUGGUCUUGAACAUAUGAUCCUUCAGAC